UACGGGGGGGGGCAAGCGUUGUUCGGAAUUACUGGGCGUAAAGAGCUCGUAGGUGGUUUGUCGCGUUGUUCGUGAAAACUCACAGCUUAACUGUGGGCGUGCGGGCGAUACGGGCAGACUGGAGUACUGCAGGGGAGACUGGAAUUCCUGGUGUAGCGGUGGAAUGCGCAGAUAUCAGGAGGAACACCGGUGGCGAAGGCGGGUCUCUGGGCAGUAACUGACGCUGAGGAGCGAAAGCGUGGGGAGCGAACAGG
rnacentral:rRNA from 1 species